AUUCACUCACAACCACUUUCCUCUACUAGCAACUCAAGAAAAUCAUCAACACUCUUCCUUUCACUUUCCCUAUUGCUCAAGUGUUCACCCGUCGAGAAAUCAAGAGAGGUAAUCAGCCCUGUAAGAAGAGUUAAAAUCUAAACUAACCUCUCUGGUGGAAGUGGUGUUCGUUAUUUUCUUGAUCUAGCAUGAAGAAUCCACUCAAGAACAUAGGGAAGAAAGUGCGUGGAGCGUUUAGCGGAAGCUCAUCAAGGCGCUCCCAUGGCACCAUGAGUUCGGUAGAAGAGUACUCCUCUCAUCAGGGACUUCCCUCUGAGACUCAUGAGGAGCAAGAGCAUGAGGCCAUGCCACAGCAAACACCACCUAAUGAAGAAGCAGCACCUCUACGGAUGCAAGAUAUAGAGACCGGACUUUUGCUCACCAUAGAAGAAGUGGAGAAGCUUAACCAUCUACGCCACC
rnacentral:lncRNA from 1 species